CCCGACCCUAAACUUUUUUAUUGCAUCAUGCUUGUAAGUGUUUCCACUUAGAGGAAAAAGUUUGUGGAAAAUUGAAAUUUGAGGCAAUAUGAGGGAAAUUUAUCUUUGGAUGUGGAAGCACUGACUAAACAAAAUGGCGUCUGCUUGUUCGGAAAAUUAAAAAAAAAGUUUAAAAAAAGUUAAAACUGACCUACCCUACAUAAGUUUUUAUAAGAAGAAACUGGAAACCCACAUAUAUUUUUUUGGCCUUACUAAGGAAGGACUAUAUAUCGUAAGGUUAGUGAAUAUUUAUAAUAGUGAUAAAAUGGGGAUUCCCUGCAAAUAGGAACGA